rnacentral:sRNA from 1 species
ACUUUCUACAGUCUGUGGAGACAGCAGUUGUGUCCCUGUGGCUUUGGUGCGCCUGUGUGCACUUUCUCCCUCCACCUGGAGCAUGGGCUGACACCGGAGGAAAGGAAAAGACAGAGUCAGACAGGGGACAAUGAAGCCUUUGAAGUGCCAGUCUAUGAAGAGGCCGUGGUGGGACUAGAAUCCCAGUGCCGCCCCCAAGAGUUGGACCAACCACCCCCCUACAGCACUGUUGUGAUAUCCCCAGCACCUGAGGACGAACAACCUAGCCAUCCAGAGGGGUCCAGGAGAGCCAAACUGGAACAGAGGCGAAUGGCCUCAGAGGGGUCCAUGGCCCAGGAAGGAAGCCCUGGAAGAGCUCCAAUCAACCUUCGGCUUCGGGGACCACGGGCUGUGUCCACUGCUCCUGAUCUGCAGAGCUUGGCGGCAGUCCCCAGAUUAGAGCCUCUGACUCCACCUCCUGCCUAUGAUGUCUGCUUUGGUCACCCUGAUGAUGAUAGUGUUUUUUAUGAGGACAACUGGGCACCCCCUUAAAUGACUCUCCCAAGAUUUCUCUUCUCUCCACAC